GGGGCGGUUGGCAGCGAGGCGGCGGCCGCGCCUGUCAGGCCGCGUUAAGCACAGGGCGGGCGGGAGGGAGGGAGGUAGGGAGGUGAGCGGCCCUGCCGAAACAUCCCCGCGCUACGGGAUCCGGCUGCCCGCUGAGCCGGAGCAGUACGCUUGUCCCGGUGGCGCUGAGCGCCUGCACGGUGUGGGUUAAUUUCGGGGUGUUGGCACGCGCACGCUGAGGCAGAGCACAGGCAGAAAAUGUAAUUUGCUGUGCGCUUCGGUAUGCUGGGGACCUGUCCUGGAGCUCGUCGUCUUGAGCUGAAUAAAGGCUGAAAAGCAGGAUUGAAGUCGACUUGUUCAACCUGAGGUUACAAGAAAGAGCAAGAGGAAUGAUCGAAGGUGCGGAACUUUUCCAUAUGAGGAAUGAAAAGCAAGCAGACUUAGAUGUUUCUGUUUGGAGAAAGGGUAACUGAGGGGCUACUAUGAAAGAAAUCUAUGAAAAUGGUGACUGGUAUUAGGGCAGACAGGGAGCAAUCACGUAUGGCUUCUAACAACAAAAGAACUGAGUGGAGUCUAUAAAAUUCUCAUUUGGCAGGUUCAAAACACAAGGAAGUAAUUUUGCCUGUAAUGUACAAUUGGAUGUAGAAUACAUAUACUGUUAUGGUAACAAAAAUGGGAAUGGGUUAAAAAAGGAGUCAGAGCAAUCUGAGAGGCCUAUCAAAGACUAUAAUACAGUGGUCUAGAAAGAAAUCCCCAGCUUGGUAUUAUUGGGAGCUACAAGAUAUGUUCUGGAAAGAAUCAAUUUAGAUGUCUAACAAGCUUUUCAUAAGCACCCACAAUUGGCCACUGUGGGAAAGAGGGAACCAAGCUACAAAGACCUGUCUGUCCAAGUACAGACAUUUCAACUGUUACUUUCCAAACAGAAUAAAUGAAUUUAAUGAGGCUUCUAAUAUCAACCACAUAAUGUGAGGUUAGCAUAGGUAAAGGAUAUUUCAGAUAUUACAUUUAGCUCCAUAUUUCCUUGAUAACCGCAAUGAUAUAUCCAAAGGGCAUUACUGGGCAUCCUUCAAGUGGCACUGAUCAUAUGCCAUGAAGGCAACAAGCCUAGGUAUGAGUCCAGAGCUCUUUCUCCUGGUAAACACCAUGCCAUAUGUUUUUAUCAGGCACUAAUUUUUGGGAGAAUUAAUCUUUAUAUAGUUAUUACGUUAGAGUGUCCUAGUUAUGUCAAAGUAUAGAGCUGGGGGCUCCUUUAUUUAUACAAAUAUUGCUGAACAUUUAAUUUCAGAUUCUCAGUCUGGUGGAUAAUAAAAAAUGACUACCCACCAAACCUGUAGCAUUAAAUGGAGACUGUAUUUUUGGCAGAUCAUCAGAGAGGGAUUAAUAUUACUGGAAUUGCUUUGUUUCUCAGCAAUGCCUCCUUAAAAACAGCUUUCUCUGAACACAUUUUUCUAUUUUAUUGAGAAAAGGAAAUACAGUAUUAGAAAUCAAUGUUUUUAAAGGGUAAUUUAAAGAAAUCUAAUCUUGGCAGAUGCUGAAAUAUUUUCAAUUUACAACAAAUAGUAUUUCUGUCAUCCAGUCAGCUUUUUAAAAUUAGACCAUUACUCCUUGAUAAGUUAAUUACAAAACAGAGACUCAACCAAUAUAAAAAAAAAAGUAUUAAUGAAAGUAUAGAGCACACAUCUAAAAGCUGCUUUUACUGAUUUAUUGUUGAAAUUUUACUUUUUAUAUGAAAGACCUUGUCUCCAAUGUCUUAAAUCAUAGGAAAAAUGCUUAAUUUUUCACCCAAUCACAACUAAUUUUUUACACUGGUACACUGAUGGACUAUUGUUUUUCUGUGGUACCAUCCGUUAUAAAAAGUGACAGCAUCAUAAUUGAAGUUAUUUAAAAUAUGGUGCAUUUAGAUAAUGCUCUCCUUCAGUAUAAAUAUGACUACAUAGGAAAUGCUGCUACUGGAAAUUGCUAGGAUGAGCUACCAAAAUGGAAUUACUGCUCAGCAGGCCAUAUUCCUCUGGCGGUAGGAAAUGAAAAAUAUCAGAAAUUCCCUCAAAAUGCAAAAUGAGAAGAGAAUGGAAGGAACAUUUUUUUGUGUCUAAGGCUUGGUCAUCUCUAGCUAAAUUUUUAUGCCAGUUAGCCAGUAUCAAAUGCUAUAGAAGUUUCGCACUGCACAGACACUUAGGCUCCAUGCAGAAAUGGGAAACAUGGCAUAUGCUGCAACUACGGGUUGAAAUGUCUCCAGGCCCAUCAGCUGAAUCCUGGUCCCACCGAAAUCCUUGGUGAGUCUUUCAGUCCAAUGAAGUCACAAUUUCACCCCAAGGAUUCUGGGUAAACACAAGAAAAAAUCAUUAAAAAAAAAUAUGCAUUCACUUCAUAAUAUCUGCCCAAGGAUGUCUCUGUAACUGAGCUGUAUUUUCUGCUUCUUACAGUGAGAACCAGCCAAAGUGCCCAGUGGUAAUCCUUCCUGGUUACAGCUGAGGUCCCAAGUGUGCCUGAGCCAAAGUCAUGGCAGGUAUCAGUCUAAUGAUUUAACAGUAUGAGUAGUGGCAAACCAGAAUCCAGACUAAAUGCCCUGCCCCUGAUUAGUUUACCAGUAUAGAAAUUGUGCCACAGAGUGAACUGGCUUGGCAACCUUUUGGGGAGCCCAUCACUUAGCAAUGCAUGCUGACUGGUAAACCCACUUCAACUAAAAUAAUAUUUAGCCUCCAGCAACUGGAAUGAAAUAUAAUGGAAGAGAAAAGAUUUUAAGCCUUAACUAAAAUAUCAAUACAUAUCUUCCUUACCCCAAAAUGUUGCCGUCCUAAAGUGAAAAGGCAGGUUUAGCCUUUUCAGAUACUGUACAGUUUCGUAUAAACACCACUCCCAUAACAUAGAUUUGUUAUCUCUGCCAUUAUUUUCUGUAGUUCCACACCAGCUGGCACACAUAACAGAGGCUGAUAAUAUCUCCUUGCAGCUAUUUAAUUGCAUACAUAGUCCCAUAACAGCCCUCUGACAAUUCACGGGGAAUGAUCUUAGCUCAAGUCAGUGUUUAAUUUUCCUGCCCAUAUUUCAGCAAAAUGUAUUUCAGCCCAAUAUAUCAAUCUCUGAGUGCUGCCAUGCUGCACAUCUUUCCCCCUUGACCACAGCCAGAUCUAC